rnacentral:lncRNA from 1 species
CCGGCAGCUCGCGGACAGGUGCGGCUGAAGGAGAGAGGGGCGGCGGGCAGGCCGGGGUGGGGUCCAGGGUGCCUGUGACGGUGACAGUGACCGAGGCACUAGGUAAUUCAUCCCGGACGGGUGGAAGGGCGUCCCCCGGCGGGAGGUGAGCGGCGGGCAGCUUUCAGGAGUCCCGGAGGAGAAAGUCAGCCGCAAAACUCCGAGAGGCAAGAACAGGGAGCGGAACCGGAAGUGAGGGAAGAGGGCCAGAAACCCUGCAGAGAGAAGAAAGAUUUUCCCGUCGGGGUCCCGCCCCUCCACUAUGGCCACGCCCCCUCCCGAGCUCUGACCUCGCCAUCUGCGGCGUCCAGGCCUCUAGUCCCCGGCGGCACCCCCAUUGCGCCCUCUGGCGGCGACAGCGGCGUUAGCAUGUCUAGCGGUGAGCAUUCCUUAAGGAAGUCUGGAAAGAGGAAGAGCUCAGGUCCAGGAGAGGGAGACCCUGGGGACACCCACGGUGGGGGAUUUGCAGCCACUGAGCAAGCACAGCCCGUUACUGAGAUGGAGCACAUUAUGGUGUCUCUAGAUGGACUGACCUCUCCAGAAAGCAAUAAUGAACCCUUCUGCUUCCUACUGCCUCUUCUGGACUCCACCCAAAUAAACAAAACUCUAAAACACAACAGUGUGCUUUAACAUUUUACUUGCUGUCUCAGUGUUCUAAAGAGGCAAAUUCCUGUGUUCUUCUAAUUUUCUAAUAUACCAGAAAGCUCCCAAGCAGUAUAAUUUCUUGAUUUGAGCACAAGCACCAGAAAUGGAGACAGAAUUACUAUCCACAGUGUAUACAUC